UGAGUUCGAAUUCCUGGCCUCAGGAUGAACGCUGGCGGCAUGCUUACAAACAUGCACGCGAACGGGAGAAGUGGUGGUUUCCAGUGGCGAAAGGGUGAGUAACGCGUAAGAACCGCCUUGGGAGGGGAACAACAACUGGAAACGGUGUGCUAAUACCCCGUCGGCUGGGAGCAAAAGGAGAAAAUCCGCCCAAGAGGGGGGCUCGAGUUCUGAUUAGCUAGUUUGGUGAGGCAAUAGCUUACCAAGGCGAUGAUCAGAUAGCUGGUCCGAGAGAUGAUCAGCCACACUGGGAAAUGAGACACGGCCCAGACUCCUACGGAGGCCAGACAGUGGGGAAUUUUCCGCAAUGGGAGCGAAAGGCAUGACGGAGCAAUGCCGCGUGGAGGUGGAAGGCCUACGGGUCGUCAACUCUUUUCUCGGAGAAGAAAACAAUGACGGUAUCUGAGGAAUAAGCAUCGGCUAACCUGUGCCAGCACGCCGCGGUUAGACAGAGGAUGCAAGCGUUAUCAGGAAUUGUGAUUGGGCCGUAAACGCGUUCUGUAGGUGGCUUGUCAAGGUCCGCCGUCAAAUCCCAGGGCUCAACCCUGGACAGGCGGUGGUGAAAUACCAAGCUGGAGUACGGUGCGGGAAGAUGGGAAUUUCCGGUGAGCGGUGAAAUGCAUUGAGACGGAAUUGAGAUCGGAAAAGAAACACCAACGGCGAAAGCACUAUGCUGGGCCGACACUGACACUGAGAGACGAAAGAUAGGGGAGCAAAUGGGAUUAGAGACCCCAGGUAGUCCUAGCCGUAAACGAUGGUUACUAGGUGUUUGCUGUGCGACUCGACCCGUGCAGUGCGGUAGCUAACGCGUUAAGUAUCCCGGCCUGGGGAGAUAGUACGUUCGCACGAAUGAACUCAAAGGAAUUGAGGGGGCCGCACAAGCGGUGGAGAGAACUGGUGGUUUAAUCGAUUUGCAAAGCGAAGAACCUUACCAGGGCUUGAAUGCCGCGAAUCUCUUGAAAGAGAGGGGUGCCAUUCGGGAAAGCGGACACAGGUGGUGCAGGCUGUUCUCGUUCAGCUCGUGCCGUAAGGGUGUUGGGUUACAAGUCUCGCCAACCGAGGAAACCCUCGUUGUUUAGUUGCCCACUAGAGUCUUGGAACCCGAACAGACCGCCGGUGUAAGCCGGAGGAAGGAGAGGAUGAGGCCAAGUCAUCAUCCCCUUAUGCCCUGGGCGACACACGUGCUUACAAUGGGCGUGGACAAAGGGUCCGAUCCUCGCACGAGGGUGAGCUAACUCCAAAACCCGUCCUCAGUUCGGGAUUGCAGGCUGCCAAACUUCGCCUGCAUGGAAGCAGGAAUUUUUCGCUAGUAAUCCCGGUGCAAGCCAUACGGCGGUGGAAUCCGUUCCCGGGCUUGUACCACACCGCCGUCACACUAUAGGAAGCUGGCCAGAGUUGGAAGUUUCAUUACCCUUAACCGUAAGGAGGGGGAUGCCUAAGGCUAGCUUGCGACUGGAGUGAAGUCGUAAAACAAGUGGUUAGCCGUAGGAUAGGGCGGCUG
rnacentral:rRNA from 1 species